rnacentral:snRNA from 1 species
UGCAGUGAGGGUUAUAUGACCGAGAUAUUUGUUACCCCAUUGUUCACCAGGGUUCUAUUCGCUAAUCUGGCUACCCAGAUGGAUGUCCACUUCUACCAUCACCAUCCCAUAUGAGUCUCUCCUGAAGCUCUGUGCUUUGUGGAAGAGGAAAUAGUUUCCUGAAGAGAAGAGAACUGGUCUCUGAUCAAGAGUAUAUAAGUACCUCUAUUCUCCAGUUAGAACCUUCAAACAAGAUCUCAAGGUCCUUUUGUUCACAUAUUAAAGUACAUUUCUCCAUGUUUCCAACUCUGAACCUAAAGUAUAAAUUUGAGAAAAUAUUUGUGAUUUU